AAGGGUGAGGAAGUGGGCAGGGAGGGGCUGAUGGGGCUUCUACACGUUCCCUCCCGUAGCUGGGCUGCUGCAGCUCGUUCGCCCCAGAGGCGCGCGGUGUCCUUGGGUCCAAGUAUUCAGCGCGGACGUUUGGGGGACGGAGGGAGAGGCGCUAGGGGAAACUGGCACCUAAGACUGUGUAAUAGGACCCGGGUCUUGCAAGCCCUCCUCCCCAGGCACCGCCCCUGUGCUCCCAGCGCCUCUUUGCAGCUUUAAUUAUCCUUUCAGCGCCGUUCCCCCGCGGCUGCGUUUCCGUGGUCAGAGGAAAAAGGCUCUCUCGCCUCCCGGUUCUCACCCUCAUACAGACCCUCCUUUCAGACCCGCCCUCCUGUUCACAGGGACCCAUUUCGGAGCCCUGGCUCACGCUGGGCGGGAACUGCCGUGACGAAUUCCGCCCAAGGUGUUGAUUAUCCAUCCCAACCCAGCCUCUGGCUUCCCUCCCACCUCCACCCCAGCUCCCACAGGCCCCUCGCCCCCUUCAUCGGCUGGGCGCUCGAGACGGCGCCCCCAGAUCUCCCACCGGGCAGUGUCCCCAGCUGCAGCUGAGGAGAGAAGCGCCGGCGUGCGCGGUGCCACGUCGGAAUUGGCUCUGGGGACGCUGCAGCUGCCGAAGCGCAGCGCGCGGUCCCCACGCACGCCCUGCCUCCGGGCGGCCGGCGGGCUGGCCAGGCGAGAAGAGGAGGGAUGCGCGCCCUCCUCCCGCUCCUAUCUGCGGGUGCCACCGCCUGCGUCAGGGACCCCUGGCCCGAGUAAGGCUUCCGGAGCCGAGCCGAGCCCAGACUGACGAGCCUGACACUUUAAUGGGUCUUUCUGCCCCCGAUAACAGAAAAUCUCUUUUUCGUCUUAAAAAAAAAAAAAAAAAAAAAGCCUGUGGAAGACUCAGCAGAACCCAGGAAGCGCAGAAUUGGGAGAAAAGUCUUUGGCUGGGGCUGUUUCAAGUCUCUGGUUCAAUGGGCUGCUCGAAGCCAGGACUGGGUAAUUCUUUCCAGACGUCUUGACUUCUCCUUCCUCGCCGUUGUUGCCUUUCUGCCUCCUCCAACUUAAGGGGGUCUUAACAAGAUCUUCUGAGGGGUGGACUUCUUUGGAACUCGACAGGACCUUGAAGACUGGGUUCUUAGUCCUUAUCACAUAUAUGGGCUAUAAUGAAAAAACACAUUUGUUGUUUCUCGCCUCUUGUAAUUCAAGACCCAUAAGACAAAAGUAAAAUGUUCUCUGACUGCAAAUGGAUGUAAAAACUGAUUAUACAGCUACACAUUUCUGUCAUCCUCCAAUCUCUACCCCAAAGAAAGAGGAGCUGUUUGGAUCAGAAGAUGACAUCUUUCACCCAUCCCUUUCAGGUUUUGAUAUCCUAAAAUGUACCUUAUGGAACCCAUACCUGUUAUGUUUUCACCUGUACAAGGCAACAGAGAAAACAUGGUAGUUUUUACUUGAGUAGAUGUGACUUAGCAAUAUGUUGUUGCUGACCUCCAUCCCACAGCACAAAACAUAUGUUUAUAUGUCUGAGAGACAAAGUAUCCAGAACAAGGAUUUACUACCUUCAUAAUCCUCUGUAUAUGUGGUUCUAGAACUUUUGGUAAAGAAACUCUUUAUACUCUUAUUAAUUAUUGAGAACCUCAAAAAAGUUUAUAUGUUAUAUGUAUCAAUAUUCACCACAUUAGACAUUAAAGCUGACUUAAAAAGUUAAAAUACUUAAGUCAUUUGAAGUAAUAAUAAAUGCAGUUACAUACCAACUUAAUAA